rnacentral:rRNA from 1 species
AAAGAGCUAAAUAAGUUUUAGAGUUUUUGUAUCAAAAAAAUUCUUAAGGUUUAUUUAGGUGUGAGAUUCUAAUCGCUUUUAUUAAUAUCUAGUAACUUCAGAAAUAAAUUUAGUUUAGAAUAAUAAGAAAUUUCUUUAUUUUUAAGUAGUUUUAAGUUUAUUUUUAAAUUUUAGGGGAUGAGCUCUAAAAUUAUAGUAAAAGGCGAAUUUUUUUUAAAUUUUUUAUAGGCUUAGAAUUAGCCAUUUGAUAGUGUUAUAAAAUAGAAUUUUAGUUUUAUGAUUUAAGUAGUCUUUUCUUUAUAUGAAGUUAAUUUGGUAAUUUUUUUAGAGGUGAAAAUAUGAUAGUAUAAGUAGAUAUUUAAGUAAAGAAACAGUUUUAAAUUUUUCUGUGAGUUUUUGAAAAAUAAUUUUGAUAGAAGAACUCGGCAAAUAUUAUCUCCGAAUGUUUAACAAAAACAUUUCCUCUUAGUUUAAGAGGUAAGGCCUGCUCACUGAAUAUUAAAGAGCCGCAGUAUCCUAACUGUGCUAAGGUAGCAUAAUCAUUAGUCUUUUAAUUGGAGACUGGUAUGAAUGGUUUAACGAGAGAUAGACUUUUUUUAUCAUAAAAAUUGAAUUUAAUUUUUUAGUGAAAAAGCUAAAAUUUUUCAGAAAGACGAGAAGACCCUAUAGAGUUUUAUAUUUUGAAAUAAUUUUUCUAAUUUGAUUUUUAUAGGUGAAUUAUUGAUUAGUAUUUUGUUGGGGCGACAUUAAGAUAAGAAAAACUCUUAAUUUUGAAAAUUUUUAUUAAAAGAUUUUUGAUCCUCUAUAAGAGAUCAAAAGAAAAAAUUACCUUAGGGAUAACAGCGUAAUCUUUUUUGAGAGUUCUAAUCGACAAGAAGGUUUGCGACCU